rnacentral:lncRNA from 1 species
GGCGGCGGGCACUGCGCCGCUGGCGUAGCGUUGUUGUGAAUGGAGCGCGCGGCGGGGCGGGGAGGGUGACGUCAGCCUGCGAAUGUCAACAAUGUAGCGAUUGAGGGGCGGGGGCGGCGCUGGGCCGGGGCGCGGGAGGCGGCGGCGGGCGGCAGAGCCGGGCAGCAGCAGCGGCCGCGGCAGCAGCAGCACAGCAGCGCCGCCUUCUCUCCUCCGCCUCCACCGGCCGGGCUGCCACGGCCGCCGGCCCCGGGUGCCGCUCCGGCAGCGACACAGCCGCCGCGGUGCUGCUCCCCCUCCCCUCCCCCCCCCGCCCGCCCUCUCUCCACCCGCCCUCCCUCCGCUGCGGCUUUCUCUCCUCCUCCGGCCCCCCUGCCAGCCCUCCCCUCCUUCCCUCCCUUCCCCCUUUAUUUUUCUCCGCAAGACUUUGGCUCUGGAAACAGCUGGUUCAAAGCAAUCGCCAUGUGAUGAUCGUCUGGGUCGGGUUUUUUUUUUUUCAUUUGGGGGGGGGAGGGUGCAGGUUUCUGACCGCAGAGAAAUACUAAUAAGAAUUUCCGAAACAACAGCAGCAGCAACAACAAGAGCAACCUCCCCCUUCCCCAAACCUCCUCAGCCGUAACAGCCCCCCCAGCCCCGGGCCCGCUGCACCCCGCCCCGCUGCCUCCCCCCGCUCCCGCCCAGGCUGCAGCGACAGGGGCGACCCCCGAAAGUUGCGCGGAGGCGAGAGCAAUGAGGCAAGAGAGAAGUUUUUAAAAACAGAAAAAUGUGAUUGCAUAAACAUCGUUGUUGGCAGGAGGACUCAGUGGAUUCAGAGCGUUCUUAUUUUGGUGGGAUGGGGACCAACACCUGAUGUCCAUAGAAAGCCCUGCAUGAGAACAGGAGAUAAAACUGCUAUUGGUCCUCCUGUUGUUAGGCACAGUUAUUCACAUGUGAAAAUCUCAGGAGCAGCUGGGUGGGGGGGAACAGCAACCUCACUGGUGUGUAAGAGAGCUCCAUCUUCCAAAAAGAAUUACAGCUGUGAUGUCACAGUUCAGGGUUCAGCGAGUUGUCAGCAGCCACUGUCUGAUGUUUCUAACCGAGCAUCAUAGCCUGUGCUCCUUUUUAAUUCUUUAAAGAAAAUUAAACAAAUAAUUAUUUCAGUUUUAAAAUACAUCGUGUCUGAAGAUGAAAAUAAAAAAGGAAAAUACCCCCA